rfam:Oryza sativa Japonica Group DNA, chromosome 2, cultivar: Nipponbare, complete sequence.
AAAAAAACAAACCCUGAAUUUCCGUGUCUAACUUUAACCGUCCGUCUUAUUUAAAAAAAUUAUGAAAAAAAUAAAAAGACAUCACGCAUAAAUUAUUAAUCAUGUUUUAUCAUCUAACAACAAUGAAAAUACUAAUUAUAAAAAAAUUUCAUAUAAGACGAACAGUUAAACGUUGGAUACGGAAAGUUAGGGUUUGUCUUUUU